AGUAGAGGAGGGAGGGGUGUCGAGCGUCGAAGGUGGAAUGAGGGAAGAUGGAGGAGGUUGAUGGGACUCGAGGGCUGGGAUACACCUGCUCAAGGGGAAGGGAGGGAGAGAACUUUUUAAAAUAGUCAAACUGAAAUAAAGCCCUAUUAAAAGUUAAGGGUGAGGGAGGAAAUUAGAUAUCGAAAAGGUGUUAACUGAAAAGCAAAGAAGUGACAUCAGGAAAACUAAGGCUGGCAGUGAGCGAGGACAAGCGAUGGUCCAUGUCCCCAUUGCUUGGAGUGGACUCAACUAUUUAAUCAGGGUUAACCUGGGACAGCAAGCAUGGAACAACCCACCCACCCAAACCAAAGUGCCUUAGCCCUGGGCCAGUGACCUCAUCUGUUCUGAAACAAUUGCUGGGAGGUGCUAAAUAAAUAUUUGCUGAUAGGAAAUGAACAUCUGAAGUGAGAAAUGACAUCAAAUGAAGAGCUAGGCAUGGAGGCUUAUACUUAUCAUGCUAGCACUUGGGAGGUAGAGGUUGAGGGAUCAGGAGUUCAGGGUCAGUCUUGGCUGCAGAAAGAGUUAGAGGCCAGAGCUGUGUGGUGGUGGUGGCACACUCUAACCCCAGCACUCAGGAGGCAAAGGCAGGUGGAUCUCUGAGUUUGAGGCCAGCCUGGUCUACAGAGCGAGUUCCAGGACAGCCAGGGCUACACAGAGAAACUUUGUCUCAAAAAACCAAACAAACAAAAAGUAGAGGCCAGUAUGAGCCACAUGAAACCUUGUCGCCAAUAAGUAGUACACAAUCAAGUGAAACUAUCAGUGUUAGGCUGCUGCUGAUGGAAGGGAACCAAGGAGUCCCAUCCAUUGGCCAGAUGGGUGUGGCUACGUGGGGCGUUCCAAUUGAUACAGAUAGUGCUUAAGUCUAGGAAGACAACCCUCCCUUGAUCCACAGGUCUGCAUAGCAUUUGGGGAGGGGUCUUAUGCCCUUGUGAUUCUUGAGAUUUGAGGAUCCCCUAGAGAUCACUCAGUCUUGGAUGAGUUUUUUUCCACCACCUAGGGUUCUCAAUUGUCCCGAUUUCACACAAGGGAUCUCCAACAAGAACUAACAAACAUAGCCUGUCCUCUCUGAUUGUAGCGUCCCUUUCACACAAUGUGUCACAUCCCUGGAUAGAAAAAAAUUUAUUACCUGAGUCUUAAAACCCAUAGCUCCGUUUUAUUUUUCUUCUAUGUUUUGUUUUAAAGUUUAUUUUAUGUGUAUAAGUGUUUUGCCUUCAUGUAUGUAAGUGCACCAUGUGUGCCUGGUGCCCAUAGAGGCCAGAAGACAGCACUGGAUCCCCUGGAACUAGAGUUACAGACAAUUGUGAGCUGCCAUGUGGGUGUCAGGAACCGAACCCAGGUCCUCUGCAAAAGCAGCUACUGCUGUUAACUGCUGAGCCAUCGCUCCAACCCCUGUACUGUUUUUAGUUGAGAUUAGAUAGGUAAAGUCCUUAUCCUGAUCUCCCCAGUGAGAAUGCUUCUCCACUGACUUGCCAGAGUUACCACCACUCACCAGGCCUGUCCCCCAUCUGCAGAGGGAGGCCGCUGAACUAGGUUAUCCCGAGUUCCUUUUCAGUGCUAACAUCACAUCUUCAGGGGCUCCUGGGCUUGUGACAGUGCUGAUGGGGAAUGGAAAGCCCAGACUUGUCACCUCCACAUUUGGAACAUGGAGGAAUCAAGAUAGCUGUAGCCCCAAGAAGGCGAACUUGCCAGGAACUGGCUGAGAUGAUUCUGCUGCUUGUGGUGAAAUGUCUUGGCAGACCAUUCAGGUAGGUCGGUACAGGUGAGGGAGAGGGUGGGGUUGACAUUCUUUCGGCCCCUGAGUAAUGUUUCCUUGCAGGAUUGGAUGCCUACAGACUAGUGGAUGCCAGCUAGAUGGAUCCAUCCACAUUGGCAAAAGCUGGAGUCCCACGGACAGCAAGCUUGCUGAACACCUCUCACAGCCCUGCCCGACUGUCCUCCAGGAUCCUGUGACUAGUCUUCUCUUCAGGCUGCUGAUCACUGUGUGUUUUUGUGAGCCAAGGCUGUAUUUUAAUGAGCAAGGCUUUGAAAAGUGUCUUAAUACCUGAUACGGUAAGUACCCUUACCCUGUCCUCUAUUCUUUUUAAAAAAUCACCUUGUUAUAUUGCUGGUUUACUUUUAUAUAUCUUAUAAUUAGCUUGUCAAAGUUCCAUGGGGGGAAAAAAAAACCUUAUUAAGUGAGACUGCAUUGGAGGGAAAAAUAGCAUCAUUAGGAUGCCAUCAGCUUCUCCCAUCUGCGACUGCAGCGCCGUCUCCCGUGGUCAGUCGCCCUUGUUUGGUGUGGUUUUGCUUUGCUUUUAAUACCUUCUAAUAAAAGCUGGCCCCGCAGGUCACAGACAUCCUCCACAUUUCUUAAUGGCUUGACUCCUGAACACCUUAUUAGUUUUGUUGCUUUCGUGAAUGGAAAAACUUGCCCAGUUUUUCAUUUCACUUUCCAAAUUUUAAUCAGUUUGCUAAUCACUGUGCAGCAUUCACAGACACACACCAAGUGAACGUGCUUUGUCCCUGGACAGACAAAUCAGAGUACAGCACACGUGCAUUCUCAGCUAAUUGGCAAGGAAUGAAUUUGAAUGUUUGAAUUAAAUUUCAAUUAUACAAGUAAAACACAAAUACAUUUUCUUUUCAAUACAGUCCACAUUACAGAUGGGGCAUCCCUACUUGGCCCUUAGCCUCUGCCUUGGGUCCGUACACCUUCAGGGGAGAGCUGAUAUUAGUGCCUCUGUUUGUCUAGUGUUUGCUUGUGCCCUUUCCAACAUGUCUGUUCUUUUGUUGGUCUGUCUGCAUAGGCAGGUGGUGUCCACUGGAGGUGCUUUCUACGCUGUGUGCCCUGCAGGACUCGCCUCGAGCGGCUGUCUGCAUCUCCGUUCACUCCAGUGCUCCACGCAGCUGGCCGCACACAGCCACAACAAGCAUGUCCCCUUCUGUUUUAAUGUUUCCUAUUGGUUGACUGUGGAAAUGCCUUUGGUGGUGUUCAUAACAAACAUGUUGAGGGUCCCCUUCAUUAGUCCCCUUUUGCUCACAUACACGUAUUUCUGUAGGACAAGUACUUGGAACUGUUGGGCCACAGGGAAGACACGUCCUGAAUUCAGAUAAAAACAGCUACAGUCUCCUGCCAGAACCUCUCCAACUUUAACGUUUCACCAGUUGGAUGGGUAAAAAGACUGUCACGGGUUAGUGUACCCUGUCAUGCCACAGCUGAGGCUUUUGUUUACCUUCAUUCCCAGUUCCCUCUCUGGAUCAUAUGGCCAAGUCCUUCCUGCUUCUCUGCCUCUGCCUGCUUGCCUCCCUCUCCCUUUCUUUCCCUCCCUCUUUCCCAUCUCUCUCUCUCUCUUUCUUCCAUUUUUGAGACAAGGUCUCACUAGGUACCCCAUCCUAGCUUCAAAUUCAGGGUCCUCCAACCUCAGUCUCACUCAGCACUGGGAUUAUAGGUAUGAUACCACAUCUUGCCCAUUUCUUUUCUUUUCUUUCUUUCUUUCUUUCAAGAUAUUUUAUCUUUCAUUGGUUUCUGGUUCUUUAUCUAUUUCAUGCAUUUUAUAUACUAAUGCUGUGUCACUAGUGACAAGUAUUUUUCUACAUUGUAGUUCCUUUGCCAUUUAGUUGAAUUGCUUUUAGAAAAAAUUAAAGUUUUGAUACAGUCA